rnacentral:rRNA from 1 species
GACGAACGCUGGCGGCGUGCUUAACACAUGCAAGUCGAACGGAAAGGCCCUGCUUUUGUGGGGUGCUCGAGUGGCGAACGGGUGAGUAACAAGUGAGUAACCUGCCCUUGACUUUGGGAUAACUUCAGGAAACUGGGGCUAAUACCGGAUAGGAGCUCCUGCUGCAUGGUGGGGGUUGGACAGUUUCGGCGGUUGGGGAUGGACUCGCGGCUUAUCAGCUUGUUGGUGGGGUAGUGGCUUACCAAGGCUUUGACGGGUAGCCGGCCUGAGAGGGUGACCGGCCACAUUGGGACUGAGAUACGGCCCAGACUCCUACGGGAGGCAGCAGUGGGGAAUAUUGCACAAUGGGCGGAAGCCUGAUGCAGCAACGCCGCGUGCGGGAUGACGGCCUUCGGGUUGUAAACCGCUUUCGCCUGUGACGAAGCGUGAGUGACGGUAAUGGGUAAAGAAGCACCGGCUAACUACGUG